AGAGUUUGAUCCUGGCUCAGAACGAACGCUGGCGGCAGGCCUAACACAUGCAAGUCGAGCGCACCGCAAGGUGAGCGGCGGACGGGUUAGUAACGCGUGGGAACCUACCCUUUACUAUGGAAUAGCCUCGGGAAACUGAGAGUAAUACCAUAUACGCCCUUCGGGGGAAAGAUUUAUCGGUAAAGGAUGGGCCCGCGUCUGAUUAGAUAGUUGGUGGGGUAAUGGCCUACCAAGUCUACGAUCAGUAGCUGGUUUGAGAGGAUGAUCAGCAACACUGGGACUGAGACACGGCCCAGACUCCUACGGGAGGCAGCAGUGGGGAAUCUUAGACAAUGGGCGCAAGCCUGAUCUAGCCAUGCCGCGUGAGUGAUGAAGGCCUUAGGGUCGUAAAGCUCUUUCGCUGGGGAAGAUAAUGACGGUACCCAGUAAAGAACCCC
rnacentral:rRNA from 1 species